AGCAGCCGCGGUAAUUCCAGCUCCAAUAGCGUAUAUUAAAGUUGUUGCAGUUAAAAAGCUCGUAGUUGAAUUUCGGGGUUAGUAAGUUGGUCAUGCCUCCGGUAUGUACUGGCUUUACUGAUUCCUCCUUCUUGAUGAACUGUAAUGUCAUUAAUUUGGUGUUGCAGGGAAUCAGGACUGUUACUUUGAAAAAUUAGAGUGUUUAAAGCAGGCAUACGCUUGAAUACAUUAGCAUGGAAUAAUGAAAUAGGACGUUUGAUCCUAUUUUGUUGGUUUCUAGGAUUGACGUAAUGAUUAAUAGGGAUAGUUGGGGGCAUUAGUAUUCAAUUGUCAGAGGUGAAAUUCUUGGAUUUAUUGAAGACUAACUACUGCGAAAGCAUUUGCCAAGGAUGUUUUCAUUAAUCAAGAACGAAAGUUAGGGGAUCGAAGACGAUCAGAUACCGUCGUAGUCUUAACCAUAAACUAUGCCGACUAGGGAUCGGACGAUGUUAUUUUUAAUGACUCAUUCGGCGCCUUAAC
rnacentral:rRNA from 1 species